CGGGGUGUAGCUCAGUUGGCUAGAGCACCUGCUUUGGGAGCAGGGGGUCGCAGGUUCAAGUCCUGUCACCCCGACCA
rnacentral:tRNA from 1 species